rnacentral:rRNA from 1 species
UACGUAGGGUGCAAGCGUUGUCCGGAAUUAUUGGGCGUAAAGAGCUCGUAGGCGGUUCGUCGCGUCGGCUGUGAAAACCUGAGGCUCAACCUCAGGCCUGCAGUCGAUACGGGCGGACUUGAGUACUGCAGGGGAGACUGGAAUUCCUGGUGUAGCGGUGAAAUGCGCAGAUAUCAGGAGGAACACCGGUGGCGAAGGCGGGUCUCUGGGCCGUUACUGACGCUGAGGAGCGAAAGCGUGGGGAGCGAACAGG